UCAGGUGUCGGUGUUACCAACACUCACAAUACUAUCACAACAGUCAUCAUUUAAGGCUCUUUUAAAAUGUUGCUCUAGAUUGUAGACAGCUGAGGAAUUUGGGCUGAGCCACUUGUGAUUCCCAGCUGUGGUCAUCAGAGGCUGCUCUCCUGAUUGAGUAGGUCUCUGCAGCAGCUGCUUGUAUUUCCUGUGCAGGCAGCUCUGUCCUUUGAGAACAUGCAGAGCCAGGAAGUGCCCUGGCAACAACACGGAGAGAAUAUGGAAGACUGCACCACUGAGCUAACCAGCACCUCCCCUCCCCUUAAUGAUGCAGGUCUCACUUGGAUCACGUUUUUCAAGUUUUCUCCAGAGCCAAGAGAGCAGAUUCCGGCUCAACACCAAGGAAGGUGAUAUCAUUCCUCCUGACAGAUUGUAUAGUGAAAACAGAAGUCUGAAUCAAGAUCCAUGCCAAUGCAGCUGGAAGCCUUUGUAGCAGAGUAAAUAUUCCCACAUUGAGCCAUGAGUAGAGAAUGGACUUUUAGGUGUUGCUGGAAGACUCAAAACAAGCAGACAAAUUAAUUUGAGUCAGGGCUCCAUGGUACAGAAUGGAAGGUCGAAGAGUUAAUACAUUUCUAUGAGAGAAACUAUGUCAAGUUUUUUUUUCUUUUUUUUAAAUACAACACUAAUUAUA